UGGGGAAUAUUGGACAAUGGGCGAAAGCCUGAUACAGCCAUGCCGCGUGUGUGAAGAAGGCCUUUUGGUUGUAAAGCACUUUAAGCGAGGAGGAGGCUACUUGGAUUAAUACUCUAGGAUAGUGGACGUUACUCGCAGAAUAAGCACCGGCUAACUCUGUGCCAGCAGCCGCGGUAAUACAGAGGGUGCGAGCGUUAAUCGGAUUUACUGGGCGUAAAGCGUGCGUAGGCGGCUUCUUAAGUCGGAUGUGAAAUCCCUGAGCUUAACUUAGGAAUUGCAUUCGAUACUGGGAAGCUAGAGUAUGGGAGAGGAUGGUAGAAAUCCAGGUGGAGCGGUGAAAAGCGUAGAGAUCUGGAGGAAUACCGAUGGCGAAGGCAGCCAUCUGGCCUAAUACUGACGCUGAGGUACGAAAGCAUGGGGAGCAAACAGG
rnacentral:rRNA from 1 species